AUUUAGAUGACGAGUCCCAAACAGGACGAAAUGCGCAUCCUGGAU
rnacentral:hammerhead_ribozyme from 1 species